rnacentral:rRNA from 1 species
GGUUAAGCGACUAAGCGUACACGGUGGAUGCCCUGGCAGUCAGAGGCGAUGAAGGGCGUGCUAAUCUGCGAUAAGCGCCGGUAAGGUGAUAUGAACCGUUAUAACCGGCGAUACCCGAAUGGGGAAACCCAGUGUGUUUCGACACACUAUCAUUAACUGAAUCCAUAGGUUAAUGAGGCGAACCGGGGGAACUGAAACAUCUAAGUACCCCGAGGAAAAGAAAUCAACCGAGAUUCCCCCAGUAGCGGCGAGCGAACGGGGAGGAGCCCAGAGCCUGAAUCAGCAUGUGUGUUAGUGGAAGCGUCUGGAAAGGCGCGCGAUACAGGGUGACAGCCCCGUACACAAAAGCGCAUGUGCUGUGAGCUCGAUGAGUAGGGCGGGACACGUGGUAUCCUGUCUGAAUAUGGGGGGACCAUCCUCCAAGGCUAAAUACUCCUGACUGACCGAUAGUGAACCAGUACCGUGAGGGAAAGGCGAAAAGAACCCCGGCGAGGGGAGUGAAAAAGAACCUGAAACCGU